UAGGGAAUCUUCGGCAAUGGACGGAAGUCUGACCGAGCAGCGCCGCGUGAGUGAAGAAGGUUUUCGGAUCGUAAAGCUCUGUUGUAAGAGAAGAACGAGUGUGAGAGUGGAAAGUUCACACUGUGACGGUAUCUUACCAGAAAGGGACGGCUAACUACGUGCCAGCAGCCGCGGUAAUACGUAGGUCCCGAGCGUUGUCCGGAUUUAUUGGGCGUAAAGCGAGCGCAGGCGGUUAGAUAAGUCUGAAGUUAAAGGCUGUGGCUUAACCAUAGUACGCUUUGGAAACUGUUUAACUUGAGUGCAAGAGGGGAGAGUGGAAUUCCAUGUGUAGCGGUGAAAUGCGUAGAUAUAUGGAGGAACACCGGUGGCGAAAGCGGCUCUCUGGCUUGUAACUGACGCUGAGGCUCGAAAGCGUGGGGAGCAAACAGGAUUAGAUACCCUGGUAGUCCACGCCGUAACGAUGAGUGCUAGGUGUUAGACCCUUUCCGGGGUUUAGUGCCGUAGCUAACGCAUUAAGCACUCCGCCUGGGGAGUACGACCGCAAGGUUG
rnacentral:rRNA from 1 species